CAGUUUUGCCAAUUUUAUUGAACCAAUAAAAUUCCUACUAAUAACAAUGAAAUAAAUUUCUGCAAGUAUAAAUGUGAUACAGUUUAACAAAACCCAUUGUUCUGUACCUAUAAAUAGAUUUUCAAAAUGUCAUAAAAAGUGCAGUUAUGAAUUGUUAACAUGUUAAUACACAGUUGCUUUAUUUCAAAUGUGUUUGCCUUGACUCACCAACAGUUCCUUCUGUAGCUGUUCAAAUAAUAUUACCCAUCCCUCCAAAAAAAAAAAAAAGAGGCAUUAAAGCACUAGAAUAUUACACAUAAACUGAUCCAUUGAGGUCAGCUUUAGUCAGAAUUGUAAAAUCAGCAACAUAAGAAAAAUAAAACCUAGUUAUACAUACAAAAAGCUUUCAUGGGUUCUAUACUCUUCUUAACUGCUGACUCAUGUGGAGGGCAUAAUAGUUGAAAAGGCUUAUAUGGUUAACUAACUUAGACUACAUCUACAGCAGGGUCUGAUUUGCCAGAACAAGUUUAAAGUGGCUGUUUAUCAAGUUUGUUGUCUUCAGAAUUGAAGCUAUAAAUGUAAGAUCGCCAUUUGACACUGAAAAUCGUGUGAAUCCUAAAUUGCAUCAAUGAUCUAUUUGAUAAAAGCUUAUUCUAAUUGAAACCUUAUAUAGUAAGAGACUGAUAGAUAUAUAGCAGUCUUAAAGAUCACGUCAUCCGCCUCACGUUAGUCCAAAGUCACGUGCUUCGU
rnacentral:lncRNA from 1 species